rnacentral:rRNA from 1 species
UGCCAGCAGCCGCGGUAAUACGUAGGGGGCCAGCGUUGUCCGGAAUUACUGGGCGUAAAGCGCGCGUAGGCGGUUUGUUAAGUGAGAUGUGAAAGCCCAGGGCUCAACCUUGGAACUGCAUCUCAUACUGGCAGGCUAGAGUACGGUAGAGGGGGGUAGAAUUCCACGUGUAGCGGUGAAAUGCGUAGAGAUGUGGAGGAAUACCAGUGGCGAAGGCGGCCCCCUGGAUCGAUACUGACGCUGAGGUGCGAAAGCGUGGGGAGCAAACAGGAUUAGAUA